rnacentral:rRNA from 1 species
UCGCGAAUUUUUCUCAAUGGGCGCAAGCCUGAAGAAGCCAUGCCGCGUGCGGGACGAAGGCCCUCUGGGUUGUAAACCGCUGUCAGGGAAGGGGAAAUGGUUGGUGUUAACAGCAUCAAUUUUGACUGCUUUCCAAAGGAAGCCCCGGCAAAACAUGUGCCAGCAGCCGCGGUAAUACAUGUGGGGCCAGCGUUGUUCGGAAUCACUGGGCAUAAAGGGUGCGUAGGCGGCGAGAUACGUCUUGGGUGAAAUCCUUCGGCCCAACCGGAGGUCUGCCUGAG